UACUCUCUCCCCCUUAAACGCAAACACAGUAACGCAAACUCAUCAAACUCCCUCUCUUCUUCUUCACACAGUCCCAUCUCCAUCUUCAAACGCACAAUUUCCUCCAUGCCUCUCUCUACAUACACGUUCCCCUACCUCCAAUCUUUGUCCCUUCUCUACCUUCAAACCCCUAAACUAUAGUCCGCAGGCGCCAGCCACCCACUCCUUUAGUGGCAAAAAGUUUUUGAUUUUGAGACUUUACCAUCUGACCAGAUUCUCUCCGCAAACAUUACCGAUUCGAAUUUAGGAUUGAGGUCAAUCUCGAUGCCAUGACACAUCUAAGAAUUUGGAAGCCCAUUUUGAAGAAUGCUAGCACUCUAGCAGAGAAGUUCUCCAUGGAAGUCACACAAGAUCUAUGUUUAUUUGUACUCCCUCAAAUAGCAGCAUAAUUAGGUGGGAUAAUAAAUUUGUGCUGUCCUACUAGGCAAGAAGCAAAGGCAACCAUGAGAUUUCAAAGGGUGAUUGGAGAUGAUAAUUUAAAUGGAAGUUUUAGCUAGAUGACAUGACUAACAAUUCCUAUUAAGAAGAGUAUUUAGUAAACCGUAUAUCAAUGAUAUGUUAUAAAUGACUAAGUUUGGUUAUAUAUAUAGCAAAAAAUUGUAAAAGAGUCAUGAAGGUAAAAUUGAAAAGCUACAUACUGAUGCUUU